AGGCAAUGAUGACUAGUUUACAUUUCUCGAUCCUGAUUUGAUCUUGUUUUACACGGAUCAAAGCAAUUAGAUGUUAAUUUGAUGACAGCAUUUGUGCGUGUCUGAGCCAU